rnacentral:lncRNA from 1 species
ACAACAAUAAUGUUGAAAACUUGAAAUAAAAAAUUAGGUGAGAGGAAAAGAAAAGAUAACCGUUGACCAAACUAUAGAAGCUGUUUUGUGAAGAAAAAAAAGCUAUAGAAGUGUUAAAAGAAACUGUACCCAAUUACUCCAAAGCAAAAGUUCAAACACAGGUAUCCUUCUCUGCAUUUGUGAUUCCCAACAAAGCUAAGUUCAUAUAGCGAGCGAGUAUUUCCUUCUUGAAAAGUCCACUGCAUAAAGGUAAUGCUUUCACACUUUAAACAUGCAUUUUUUUUUUUUUACAAAACAUGCAUUAACUAUAUAUUUACAAGAUUUGUUGGUUAAAAUUGUGGUUGCUGAUGUUGCAGGAUGAAAUGAUUUUUAAAUUUGUUUGUUUUAAAUUGUGUUUUCAAAAUCAAUAAUCUCUUUGCCAGAUCAUUUUCUAUAGUAUAUUGAUUUUGAAAUGCACACAAACUUGGAAGAAACCUCCAAUUUUUUAUGUUAUUAACAUUAUCAUCUAGCCCAAAAGAAUAGUUUUCCGUUCCGUCACAAUUAUUGUUAAGAUCUUGAUUGAUAAAAUGGAAAGGAUGAAUGGUAAGAGCUUUAAAACCUUGAAAGAGACUAGAAAUAGUAAGAUUUUGGCUCUAUUUGGUAAAAAAUAGCGGAUAGCUGAUAAACUAGCUUAUAGUACAUGAGUUUACCAUAAUAUCAUGACAAACUUAAAUAUCGAAUAAAAUUCAGAUAUAAAAAAAAAAAAAUUAAAUAUCGAAUAAAAUUCAAUGACCCAUUCGAAUGCACGGGUCUUUAAACUAGUUUAUAGUGAAAACGCGUGCUGUCAGGUCCCUAUCGUGGCACGAUGGAUCCCAUCAUGGCACGAUGGGUGCAGAUUUUCCCAUAUUUUUCUUUUUUCGCGAGAUUUUGUUCAAAUAAAUUUCUCUCAUCGUGGCACGAUGACUGCCUGAUUUUCUCUAAAAAUUAGCAGAUUUUCUUCAAUUUAAUCAAUCCGUAUCGUGGCACGAUGCCUUCUGAUGGUGGCACGAUGUAAGGUCACGUUUUGGUCAUUUUCACCUGUUUUUGUGCAAUUUCUUCCGACUCUUGUUUCUUCUUAAAGUAAACUAAAUCCUUAGUUAUUUGCCAUGAAUUAGUGUCUAAAACUACUAAAUUACAAUGAAAUAAACCUAAAAUAUACUCUAAAAACAUCCUAUAAAUUUCUAAAAUAGAGGAAUGCCAUUUGCAGUUUGGUACUUAAAUUAAUUUUAUUAAAUUAGAAUUAUACAAAAUCAAUUCGUUGAUAUAUUUCGUUGACUUGUUGCUGACAGAGUGUGAGUACUUGCAAAGCAAAAGGAACCGUAUUGUGUGUCUAAGGCAAAAGUGCAAAC